UAUUUUUUCUAGUAUUUUCUCUAUGUCUUUUGAAAUUCAGCGAGUCGAUGAUGAUCUUUAUUUAUUGUUUCGGCUGCAUAAUUUAAUUUCUCACUUUAUUUGUUCUACUGUUAAAGUUGAAAAUGUAAGGUACUUUGAUUAUGGUGGUUAUACAAUUGGGUGUUGCUACUCAAAACUCUACUUCUUUCAGCAUAUAAUAACUUGUUUUAGCAUCUAAUAUUAUUAAUUUUUC
rnacentral:lncRNA from 1 species